AACGCUAGCUACAGGCUUAACACAUGCAAGUCGAGGGGCAGCAUGAACUUAGCUUGCUAAGUUUGAUGGCGACCGGCGCACGGGUGAGUAACGCGUAUCCAACCUUCCGCUUACUCGGGAAUAGCCUUUCGAAAGAAAGAUUAAUACCCGAUGGUAUCUUAAGCGCACAUGCAAAUAAGAUUAAAGAUUUAUCGGUAAGCGAUGGGGAUGCGUUCCAUUAGAUAGUAGGCGGGGUAACGGCCCACCUAGUCGACGAUGGAUAGGGGUUCUGAGAGGAAGGUCCCCCACAUUGGAACUGAGACACGGUCCAAACUCCUACGGGAGGCAGCAGUGAGGAAUAUUGGUCAAUGGGCGCGAGCCUGAACCAGCCAAGUAGCGUGAAGGAUGAAGGUCCUACGGAUUGUAAACUUCUUUUAUAAGGGAAUAAAGUCAUCUACGUGUAGGUGUUUGUAUGUACCUUAUGAAUAAGCAUCGGCUAACUCCGUGCCAGCAGCCGCGGUAAUACGGAGGAUGCGAGCGUUAUCCGGAUUUAUUGGGUUUAAAGGGAGCGUAGACGGGUCGUUAAGUCAGCUGUGAAAGUUUGAGGCUCAACCUUAAAAUUGCAGUUGAUACUGGCGUCCUUGAGUACGGUUGAGGCAGGCGGAAUUCGUGGUGUAGCGGUGAAAUGCUUAGAUAUCACGAAGAACUCCGAUUG
rnacentral:rRNA from 1 species